AUAUAUAUAUAUAUAUAUAUAUAUAUAUAUAUAUAUAGAGAGAGAGUGAGAGAGAGAGAGAGAGAGUUUGUCCUACUCUUUUGAAAAUAUAGAAACCUCCGUACUUGUAAGUUAUUUUCGAUGAUAGGAUAUUCGACUCGACGAUCGGAUAUGCAAUUUGACGAUCGGAUAUAUAUAGCUGGACUCUAUAUAUAUAUUUAUAUAUAGAGUCCGGAUACUAUACUCUUAUGAAUACGAGUUCUCGUAUUCAUAAGUUGUUUUCGAUGAUAGAGCUUUCAAAUCUAGAGCUUUCGAAUCGUCAAUCCAUACCGUUAAACAUUAUUUAGAGCAUUUAAAACUUCUAAAAAUCAAAUUUUAUAAUUUUUCGAUAUCAUUUACCUUACGAUCAAAAGCUCAUAAAAUUGAUAAUUUUUAACGGGCGGUAUGAGAUAUUUGCUAGUUUAACGGUGAAAAAGAAUCGGAAUAAGUUGAAUUUUUGACAGAAAAUUCUAUUCACUUCCUAAAAAGAAUCAAUAUCUCCGAUUUUAAAUUGAAGGAUCCGAUCAUCCAUUUUCAAGAUGUCAUUCAAUUUUAACCGUUGAUUUUAUACCCACUUGAUGGACUUUAUAAUUAAUGAUUUUGAAAAAUUACGAAAUUUAUUUUCUAGAAAUUUCAAAUAUUCUAGAUCAUAUUUAACGGUGUGGAUCGUCGAUUCAAAAAGCCUAACAUUGAAAAUAAUUUAUGAGUACGAAGGACUCUAUACUCAUAAAAGUAUAGUAGCCCUACUCUCUCUCUCUCUCUCUCUCUCUAUAUAUAUAUAUUUACU
rnacentral:lncRNA from 1 species